CUGACCUCGGAUCAGGCGGA
rnacentral:rRNA from 1 species